UCGCCCCCUAACUGGAACAGAAGCGCCGCCGAGCGCGCGCCGGCAGCACAGCCACCGCCCGUCCCAGCUGACGGGGCUGCACGGCGGUCACAAUGAGCGUCCGGAGAACCCGCUGGCAGAGCGGCCUUCCCGCGAGACUUCUGCAUCUCGUACCCGCCAACUGUGUGCCGCCCACGUUUCGCAGCAGCGGACGCGGACGUGGGAGCAGCGUGCAGACUGAGACUCACAGGUUUUCCCUACAUGCCUGGGACGCGGCGGUAACACGACCGACCGGGCUUCCGGAGGGCUGGGUUCUGUUUGGCGAGCUUUCCAGACACGGGUCCUCGCCAGGAAGCUCCUUCUAGCUCAGCUUUCCUGUAAACAGACACGAGGGAGGAAAUCAACGGGCUCAGGGAGGUAAAAUGGGGGCAAUGACAUACGUACAUCUCGGGGACGUGUGGCUGUGCCUCUGUGUCAUUAGCACUACAGCAGAAGCUUCCUCUGACCAAGGACAAAAAUCCACGUGGCAGAUCCGGGGGGCCGAGGCCUCAGACGCUGCUGACCCCCAGAAGACCCCGGAGAGACCUCCUCCUGACUGGGGCGGCUGGAGAGGUGGCAGUGGCCUGGGGUGGGCAGCCCCCAGGAGCAUCCUCCAGGCCUCAGGCCUGCUGGUCCCAGCUCGGUGUCCCCUUUACACCUAAUUAGAUUUCCUUGUAAAGAGAUAAAGGCUGUUACUUUGUAUCAGCACAUCUUCCUCUGCAGGACCGAGUUCCUGAGAGAGGAGAGACAGGCAGGGAGAUGAGGGGAAGAGCCGGCAUGGGUAGACUCCGGAAUAAGACCCUGACAGGCUCAAAUUGAUUCUGCAGCCCGGUAAAAUUGAGUGCAGAGGGAAUUGGAUUUGUGCCCUGUUGAAUGUAACUGCCUCUUGCUGUCUAUACCAGAAGCUGUUAAAAUGGUUAUCUUUAGAGGUGUGUGGAAAUUGUGUGCGAACAGACCGGUGAACCAUCCUGGGGCGCAGGCUUCCUCCGCGCACGCAAAACGGCAUCGUUGUUCCUAGUAACAUCAUAAACACCUUGCGCUUGUAAUGAGUAAGGAGUUCUGAGCCUUCCCGAGAAACAGCCCUGUGCCCACUGUCUCCAAAGCAGUCUCGAGAGGCCGACCCCACUCACGCUUGGGAAGCGCCCCAGUCCCGCUGGGCUGGGCUGUGCCUCAAGCCACCGCCACCAUGAUCCCACAUGUCAAAG